GCUGGGUGUGGUGGCGCAUGCCUGUAAUCCCAGCUACUCGGGAGGCAGAGAUGGGAGUAUUGCUUGAACCCGGGAGGUGGAGGUUGCAGUGAGCUGAGAUCAUGCCACUACACUCCAACCUGGGUGACAGAGUGAGAUUCCAUCUCAA
ensembl:misc_RNA Metazoa_SRP Metazoan signal recognition particle RNA